GCUCCUCAAGUGCCACCAAAGUGGGAGCCCAGGCAGAGGAGGCACCGAGAGCGAGUGAGGACUGUGAGGACUGCCAACACGCUGUCACCUCUCACUAUCUUAACAAAAGGAUCCUGAGCUGUGCUGCUGGAAUGGGCUCUGAUGGAAACCUGGCUGGUGGUGGAUGGGUCCCUCAUGAGCAUGGAGAAGGCAAUGAAGCAACUGGAAGUGCAGAGAACUGAGAAGGAGCGAGCUUUUGCCUGCAGAUUUCGAUGGGCAUUUUUGACUGUGCUACAAGAAGUACACACCCAGUUCCUGAAGGAUGCAGUGCAGAUGAGGAAGUAGAGGUGCAGAGACCAGGGAAAAAGGUCAAGAUCUCAAUGCUAACAGAUCAUGGGUGAGGCUGUGAAAACAGAGAAACCAUGUGUUAUGUGACAGGAUGCUCCUCUGAAGACUGACGAUGUUACUUGGGAUUUAAGCUGCCAAUUAUAGAACUGCUGCUACCUGGAGACUGACCAAAAUAGAGAAUUUGAACUCCAGAGCCCCCACCUCUGACCAGGAGGCCUCCCAACAGAGAGCU
rnacentral:lncRNA from 1 species